rnacentral:rRNA from 1 species
AUUGAACGCUGGCGGCAUGCUUUACACAUGCAAGUCGGACGGCAGCGGGGUAGUGCUUGCACUACUGCCGGCGAGUGGCGAACGGGUGAGUAACAUAUCGGAACGUACCGAGCAGUGGGGGAUAACUAAUCGAAAGAUUAGCUAAUACCGCAUAUAUUCUGAGGAAGAAAGCAGGGGACCUUUGGGCCUUGCGCUGUUUGAGCGGCCGAUAUCUGAUUAGCUGGUUGGUGGGGUAAAGGCCUACCAAGGCGACGAUCAGUAGCGGGUCUGAGAGGAUGAUCCGCCACACUGGGACUGAGACACGGCCCAGACUCCUACGGGAGGCAGCAGUGGGGAAUUUUGGACAAUGGGGGCAACCCUGAUCCAGCCAUGCCGCGUGUCUGAAGAAGGCCUUCGGGUUGUAAAGGACUUUUGUCCGGGAAGAAAAGCGCGAUGUUAAUACCAUUGCGUGCAGACGUACCGGAAGAAUAAGCCCC